GGCGUAGAAAUACUGUAUUCAGGACCUCGACAAUGCCGCCGAAGGCUUCCCCGAAUGACGCCGUGACGUACUGCAGCGUCAGCUCGAGGAGUUCCAGUCACAGUGAUCAUAUAUGGAGGUUUGAUAAUGUCAUCGGUAUUGUCGGAUAAGCGACGUGGAGGUAUCUUAGGCCAAGAUGGAUCGGAAGGAAGCCUAAUUGAGAGUAUUGUGAUGAAAUCAAACAAGAUUCUGCUCGUUUGCCAGUAAUUCUAACGCAAUGAAAACAUUAUGCCUACCGUAAGGUGCCGAUAUCACAUUUUUCCGAAAUCGCUGAUAAAUUUUGUCCAUUUACUAAAAAGUGUACGUUAAAACGGUAUCAUUUAUUGUUCUUCCACGAUAAUUUUUGAAUAUUUACCUUUUAUAUGCAGUUCAAGUGCACUUGUCCCGUCAUUAUGCGCCAUAUCACGGAAUAAAUAAUUCAAAACAUUAGAAUUCCUCGUAAAACGAUGUGUUCGGCCACGCUAAAUCAUUAGAUCGGAACUUGAUAUAUUACCUAGAAAAAUGUACGCGACACAAUUGUGCACGUCAAUUACAUGUUUCUUCAACAUCGAGCGCCUUUUCUGUGACCGAGUUAUAAAUUGUUUUGUUUGUCGGGAGUCAAUUGUCUCGGAAUUGUUCUCCGCAUUACCGUAUCAAUGUGAACACAAAUGAUUGUUACGGAUUAUACACUUUAUUAUUACAUAAUCUUUAUAUUUAUAUAAUAUGUAAGUUUAACUUAGGGCAUAAUAUUUACACCGAAUAUACAGUAAACAUAGUUAUAGCCAGUCUUGAGAGAAAGAGACGGAGACAGAGAAAGAGAAGAGAUUGGAACAUUUUCAAAAUCUCGAGUACGAGAUUACACAUCCGAUUUUACACCCGAUAAAUAUGUUAGCAAACAUCUCUACGCUAGACAUAUAACCGAAGGUGGAAAGUAUAGUCUGCUUAUGCGCGCGACAUAGGCCAACGCAUAAAUUGAACUUCAAGUCUGGUUAUAACAUUAUUACAGGAACGAUCAUUCGAUCACUACUUAACGAUAUUCUCUCUAUUAAUUGUGGUAAUGUUAAAGUAUGUUCGCGCACUGUAUUUAUUGUUAUAUCACAUCACAUCGUUAAUCUAACAUUGCAACUGUCCCUCUUUGAUUUUCUUUUACACGUCUUGUUUGUCAAAGCAGUUGGUAAUUCUCUUUCCUUCCUUUUCUCUUUUUUUUUUUGUUUGUAUAGAUUACUGAUACCAUGUUAUAUAGAUAUAUAGGUCCUGACAUGUUCUUCUCUGAUGCAAUGUCAGAAAACGUACUAAUAAUAAAAAUACGAUAUAAUAUAACGCAUCAUUUAAUUUAGUUGAGAUCAAUCGAGAUGUAUUAAUUCUUCGAAGGUCGAACGUGAAUGUUGCGAUUUUUUCUACGGAUGAAAAAUAUGGAUUAAAUUUCGCAACUGCAGAAGAACACUUCUUUUCUAUCUUAUUUUCACUUUUACACACUUGUUAUACGUUCAUAAUUUCGAAUAAUUAAUACCUUUUUCGAUAACCGCGAGCUUUGAAGUCGAUUAAACACAGUUCAUUUCACAGUUCUUAUUUCACACAUCUAUCCUAUCUAGACUUUGUAAUAUCUUGUUGAUAUUCGAACACAAUUUUGUAAUACUUGUGCGUAUUAAUUAUCGAAGCAGCAGAAAUUAAUUAGCAAAUGAUGUAAAACCGACUGCAAUUGCUAUUUAUUAUAGGAGUUGCAAUUGUUGAAUGAAAUCGUGAAAUUGAAUUUUGGACUACGAGUUUGGAAUACGAGUUGAUAGAUGUGCUUUGACUAGAUGAAAUAUAAUGUAACUUUGAAUUAUUGUUUUUUCAUCGAAUAUAAAACUUCAAUCUCA